CCAUAUGUAUUCGGAGGCGGUUCUUCAGAAUAAAACUCGUCGGAUGUUUAGGGCUAUUUAUUCUCUUCUUCGAUUAGUCUCGUCGGAUGUUUGGUUGUGUCGAUUUCUCCAUCUCCAAGUUAGUUCGUUCUUCCGUCUCCAAAAGGCUAAUCCAGGCACGAAGGUUAUCGCGGCGGGGCUGCUUCUUACCGGCUGAGGAAACAAAAAUGUCAUGUAAUGUUGUGCAAAACAAGUCAAGUAAAGCUAUUGCCAAGAGAUAUGCGCGUUACUUUGCCAGAAGGGGGUUGAAGUAUGAGAAGA